rnacentral:lncRNA from 1 species
AAGCUAGCAUGGCGGCCGCCGGGGCUGCGGCUACACACCUAGGUGCGGUGGGCUUCGGGUGGGGGGCCUGCAGCUAGCUGAUGGCAAGGGAGGAAUAGCAGGGGUGGGGAUUGUGGUGUGCGAGAGGUCCCGCGGACGGGGGGCUCGGGGGUCUCUUCAGACGAGAUUCCCUUCAGGCUUGGGCCGGGUCCCUUCGCACGGAGAUCCCAAUGAACGCGGGCCCCUGGAGGCCGGUGGUUGGGGCUUCUCCGCGUCGGGGAUGGGGCCGGUACCCUAGCCCGUUUCCAGCGCCUCAGUCGGUUCCCCAUGCCCUCAGAGGUGGCCCGGGGCAAGCGCGCCGCCCUCUUCUUCGCUGCGGUGGCCAUCGUGCUGGGGCUACCGCUCUGGUGGAAGACCACGGAGACCUACCGGGCCUCGUUGCCUUACUCCCAGAUCAGUGGCCUGAAUGCCCUUCAGACAAAAUGAAAAUCAAAUGCCGUUUCCAGAAGGCCUAUCGGAGGGCUUUGGACCAUGAGGAGGAGGCCCUGUCAUCGGGCAGUGUGCAAG